GCUUAACACAUGCAAGUCGAACGAUGACCCCCAGCUUGCUGGGGUGAUUAGUGGCGAACGGGUGAGUAACACGUGAGUAACCUGCCCCUGACUCUGGGAUAAGCCCGGGAAACUGGGUCUAAUACUGGAUAUGCACCGUGGACCGCAUGGUCCUUGGUGGAAAGAUUUUUUGGUCAGGGAUGGACUCGCGGCCUAUCAGCUUGUUGGUGAGGUAAUGGCUCACCAAGGCGACGACGGGUAGCCGGCCUGAGAGGGUGACCGGCCACACUGGGACUGAGACACGGCCCAGACUCCUACGGGAGGCAGCAGUGGGGAAUAUUGCACAAUGGGCGAAAGCCUGAUGCAGCGACGCCGCGUGAGGGAUGACGGCCUUCGGGUUGUAAACCUCUUUCAGUAGGGAAGAAGCGAAAGUGACGGUACCUGCAGAAGAAGCGCCGGCUAACUACGUGCCAGCAGCCGCGGUAAUACGUAGGGCGCAAGCGUUAUCCGGAAUUAUUGGGCGUAAAGAGCUCGUAGGCGGUUUGUCGCGUCUGCCGUGAAAGUCCGAGGCUCAACCUCGGAUCUGCGGUGGGUACGGGCAGACUAGAGUGAUGUAGGGGAGACUGGAAUUCCUGGUGUAGCGGUGAAAUGCGCAGAUAUCAGGAGGAACACC
rnacentral:rRNA from 1 species